UUCCGAUCUGUGGAACAAAACUGCGGGAAGUCUGCAUAGAACCUUACCAGAGAGAUGGAUGCUAUAAAACUUGUUGCGAAACAACUAGAGAAAGAAGAUGACGACGACGACGAAGAUGACGACGACGACGACGAAGAUGAAGGAACCAUCAUGCAUCAUGAACUCCUUUCGUCGAAUAAGUAAUUAACCAAGGUAAUCUCGACUGUUGUCUCUUGGGUGAGCCUCUUUUUUUUUAUCUUUUAUCACAAUGCUUUUGCACUUGAUUUGGAUUUCGUCAUGAUCGAUCGAAGCGGAAAUUAAGGAAAACAAAGAGAAAUUUUUUUGUCUAUCACUUCAGUCACUGGUUGAUUAGGUCAAGCGAUGAACUUGACUGAAAAAAUAAUCUGGGUAACUUCGUUUUUAAUUUGGGUUCAGUUGGAUUGAUUGUGAUUUUUGUGUAGGAAAUUUGAGUUUAUUAAAUCUGAUUAAUUUGAUUUUGAAUCUGGUUUCCAGUGUUUACAUCUAAACAUGUGUGAUUUAAAAGUUGAUUAUGCCAGGUUGAAAGCUUUUUAGCAACUAGGGAAUAAGGAUGGAUUCUGAAACUAAAUUCUAGUAACUUCCCUGGCAGUUCUCUGGUUGUCACUUUCAUUUGUUAUAUCCUAAGCGAACUGAGUAUAAAAUUUUGCAAAACUAAUUUAUCCAUAGUAUGGUUAUACUUGGUUCUUGUAGGAGAAUCUAUGGCAGAUUCUGACGUUUGCUUUUUUUUUUUUUUUUCUUCUACGAAUAGUGGG
rnacentral:lncRNA from 1 species